GCGAGUAUGGCGGAAUCGGUAGACGCAUCAGACUUAAAAUCUGCUGACCACUGGUCGUGGGAGUUCAAGUCUCCCUAUUCGCA
rnacentral:tRNA from 1 species